rnacentral:rRNA from 1 species
GAUGAACGCUGGCGGCGUGCCUAAUACAUGCAAGUCGAGCGAACAGACGAGGAGCUUGCUCCUCUGACGUUAGCGGCGGACGGGUGAGUAACUCGUGGAUAACCUACCUAUAAGACUGGGAUAACUUCGGGAAACCGGAGCUAAUACCGGAUAAUAUAUUGAACCGCAUGGUUCAAUAGUGAAAGACGGUUUUGCUGUCACUUAUAGAUGGAUCCGCGCCGCAUUAGCUAGUUGGUAAGGUAACGGCUUACCAAGGCAACGAUGCGUAGCCGACCUGAGAGGGUGAUCGGCCACACUGGAACUGAGACACGGUCCAGACUCCUACGGGAGGCAGCAGUAGGGAAUCUUCCGCAAUGGGCGAAAGCUUGACGGAGCAACGCCGCGUGAGUGAUGAAGGUCUUCGGAUCGUAAAACUCUGUUAUUAGGGAAGAACAAAUGUGUAAGUAACUAUGCACGUCUUGACGGUACCUAAUCAGAAAGCCACGGCUAACUACGUG